rnacentral:rRNA from 1 species
AUGUUGAACCUAACUUCAGGAUUUUCUUUUAGCUUGUCUCUCGGCAUUAAGAGAGCCCCCAAAAAAAAACAGAUGAGAUACAUCAUGGUCACUCUAGCGUCCACUCUACUGGAGCAAAGCUCCUUGCCGGCUCGCGACAUCCAUACCUCUUCCGGCCCUUCGUCGCUACAGGUGGCCUUCUUCUAUGCCUCGCUCUACCUAAUCGCCCUGGCGCAGGGCGCCGACAAGCCGUGCGCCUUGGCUUUCGCAGCCGAGCAAUUUGAUCCCGAGCACCCCAAAGAGCGUGCAUCCCGUAGCUCCCUCUUUAACUGGUGGUUCUUCUCGAUGGCUGUCGGCAUCUCCAUCUCCGUCGCCGUCGUCAGCUACAUCCAGGAGAACGUCGGUUGGGGAAUCGGCUUCGGCAUGCUUUGCGCCAUCAUGGUUUGUACCUUCAUCGUAUUCCUCUCUGGCACCCCCACCUAUCGCUUCUGCGUUCCCACCACCGAUGUUGAGAGUCCUUUCGCCCGCCUCGGUCGUAGCCUUGGCACACUCAUCAAGAGCUCAAGCUUCCCCUUCAGUACAAAUGGACACCAAGACGAUGAUGUUGUGGCCAAAUCUGAGGAGGCGCGCAGCAUGCUCCGUGUGUUGCCGAUCUGGGCGGCAUGCCUGGCGUAUGGGGUUGCGUACGCGCAAAUCAUGACGCUAUUCAACAAGCAGGGUGGCACCCUGGACCGUCGCGUCUUCGGAGGCCUUGAGCUACCGCCGGCCGCUCUUCAGACACUGGGGCCAGCGAGCAUCCUGUUGUUCGUCCCCAUCUAUGAUCGUUUGCUGGUGCCGGCACUGGGGCGUCUUACUGGCAAGCCAUCGGGGCUGACGCUGCUGCAGCGCAUGGGCACGGGCAUGGCGGUGUCAAUGGGAGCGAUCAUCGCAGCGACGCUGGUGGAGGGCCAACGACUAGAUACAGCACGGGAGCACGGGCUGGUGGACGACGCCAGGGCGACGGUGCCGAUGAGCUGGGCAUGGCUGGUGCCGCAAUACGUGAUGAUGGGUGUGGCAUACGUGCUGGCGGUGGUGGGCAUGCAGGAGUUCUUCUACGACCAGAUGCCCCGCGAGCUGCGCAGCCUCGGACUGGCUCUCUACUUUAGCGUCAUGGGCAUCGGUGGCUUCAUCAGCAGCGCCCUCAUCUCCUUCAUCGACCGUGUUACUAGAAGUGGCAGCGGUGAUGGUUGGUUUGCCGACAACCUCAACCGCGCCCACCUCGACUACUUCUACUGGCUGCUCGCCGGACUCUCGGCCGCUGAGCUCGUGCUCUUCCUUUGGCUCGCCAGCUCCUACGCCUAUAACAAGAGCCACAAGAGGAUUCAGCACUGA